ACAAUACAUGACAAGUGUGAUCACCACAAAAAUCAGAAUUUAAAAGUUUUUUAAAUCAAAAUAAAAAACAAAAAUCACAACAGUAAAAAAAAAAAACUGCAAUGAGUAAAUUACUCAGCAAAGUAAAAAAUAAAGAAACUGCAAAGGCAAAAGAAAAAUGCAAGGAGCGUAUAAAAAUAAAAAAAAUUCCAAACCUCCAAGUUAACUUCCCAUGUCCCAAACCCCAGAAAUUAACUUUCAGUUUCAACCGUCAAAGCCUCUCUCACUAUCUCUAUUGAAGUGAAUAACUCUUUUGAUUUCUAUUGCUGUAACCACAAUUUGGAGUGCUAUGACUUGCACAUCAUUCAACAUACCAAGAGGUGAACCAGAGUGGUGGCUAGCUAGAGGGAAGUAGAAAUGUCAAUCUCUUUCACCGGCGAAAUCGAAUGCUGAACCAGAGUAUCAGAACCCGAUUAGCCUUGGCACUUUCUCAGGAAAUCAGGGGAGACCUUGCCCAUAACACCAACAUUUGGUGUUAUUUACUCAACGGAUAUGAAAAUCGUAUACUAGCACAAUCGAACUCCGGAUGUGGGACGAGCUAUAGUUCACUUUUUCUCAAGUGAUGCUUAUGUUCGAAAAAAUUCCCUAUAGGGAGACCCCUUGCCCACAACAUCAGGAUAUCGUGAUGUUUACUCAACAGAUAUGAAAGUCGUCUACUAGCACAGUCGAACUACGGAUAUGGGACGAGCUACAGAUUGUAACAUGACAAUUUAUUUGGAAAAACUGUGACAACUCCUGAAAUAGAAAACCUGUCUUAUUGUAAUCUACUUGGCUUUAGUAUAUGAAAUCUAGUAGAUCUUUCAUACGUAGACUACUAAUUCUUGAAAUUAAGAAAGCAAGGAUGUUGUCUACCAAGAAGCUUUCUUUACACCUUGCAAAGCACCACAAGCAGCCAAACCACGGAAUAUAGUAUGGGACAUUCAAAACUUUUCAUAAACAGCAUGGGGACGACCCUAGACGGUACUGCUUCAUCAGUCUCUCUACGUUUUGAACUAUCGCAGGAGUUUUACAAUUUCAUAUUGGAUUAAAAAACAUAUGGACCCUAUCUCUUUAACAACUUUUGAGUAAAUUACAAGCAUUUUCAAUGAAGAGAUACACUAACUUCUGAAAUAGCUCCUAAUUUUUAGCAGUUGUAACAGCUUUUCAGCUUACUACCAAUUGCUUGGCUGCCGAUGAGAAUCCACUAGGAGUUGUUCUUGGAGGAAUACUCUAUGUUACUCCUUUGCGUAAAGCCUUAUGUUGUUGACUUCUUAUGUUCUCAAUUAUGAAUGUUAUUCUAAUAUUGCCUUUUGGCUCCUAUGCCGCGUCUGAAGUCAGAAAAAGAUGUCAAUUAAUCUUUCUGGUGAAUAGGAUUUAUAGUUGAAAAACAUAUGAGUCAGAUACAUUAAUACAAGCACACUCAGAUAUAAAUAGUCACAUAAUUGGGGUCAAGAAUCAGUUAGAUUAGCUGUUAUAUGAUAUAGUUAAUCUUUCUCAGGGGACAAACUUUAUGUACUACAGCUGCUUUCCUAAGAGGGAGAAGCCUCGCAUAUUCAAUAAUAAGCGACAUAACUGUUAAAAAGCUUUCUUGGUAUAUUAUGCCGUUAUACAAAUUAUAUAAAGAAGAAGGAAUAUUGUGUAAUUGGAUAUAUGCCUGUAGGUAUAUCUAUCUUGGACAGAUUAACAACAUGCUGGAAGCUGCAAGGUCUAAUGAUCAUAACUUGACUCUCCCCCUCCCUUUUAUGUUAUGUCAUUUACGCUUUCAACAUUUACAGGACUUGGUAUUUGGCUCAGGGCGUACAUAACGCUGCUAUAAAGUGCAAUGGAAGGGCGGCAAACACUAAUUUUGAGCUAAGCACAUAUAAGGGUGAAUGAAGUUCCGAGGCUGAUAAUGGAGGAUAUGAGGCGGCAAUCAAAUGAAAAUGGCAAGGCAACAGUAAUAUAAAUUACUGUGUGGCCAUAGUGAGGUUGAAUCGAGCUCUUGCAAGAAUGAGUCUGUAAGAGGAGCACCGAUAAUUAUGCAUCAACAAGAUGAAGUGGAAGUACAAACGAGAGUGGAAAGUCAUAGUUUGAAAAGCCUAAAGAUCGUACUACUUUGUAGACUUCUAAGCAAACUUUCAGCAAGUUAAUUCCACAAGGACACUAUGCCCACUCAAUCAAUCAUCAAAUCCCAUGUAAUUUGAUGAUCUGAUGCCCUCACCGAAAUCAAGCAGAAAUAUUUAAAUUGCGGAUUUAGUGUUGUGAUACUGCCACACAACACCCAUAUACAUUAGUUUGUAUUGAUUAUUGAACUGUAGUGUCUAAAGGUAGAAAUGCACAUCCAUUCAUGUCAAAUGGUUUGAAUGAUUUUGAGUCAUCAAAUAUAUUUUAUCUGUCUAACUUCA